ensembl:snRNA U6 U6 spliceosomal RNA
GUACUUGCUUUGGCAGCACAUAUACCAAAAUUGGAACUAUACAGAGAAGAUUAGCAUGGCCCCUGCCCAAGGAUGACACACAAAUUUGUGAGGCAAAUUUGAGAGAUUGUU